AUUGAACGCUGGCGGCAGGCUUAACACAUGCAAGUCGAGCGGAGAUGAGGUGCUUGCACCUUAUCUUAGCGGCGGACGGGUGAGUAAUGCUUAGGAAUCUGCCUAUUAGUGGGGGACAACAUUCCGAAAGGAAUGCUAAUACCGCAUACGCCCUACGGGGGAAAGCAGGGGAUCUUCGGACCUCGCGCUAAUCGAUGAGCCUAAGUCGGAUUAGCUAGUUGGUGGGGUAAAGGCCUACCAAGGCGACGAUCUGUAGCGGGUCUGAGAGGAUGAUCCGCCACACUGGGACUGAGACACGGCCCAGACUCCUACGGGAGGCAGCAGGGGGGAAUAUUGGACAAUGGGCGGAAGCCUGAUCCAGCCAUGCCGCGUGUGUGAAGAAGGCCUUUUGGUUGUAAAGCACUUUAAGCGAGGAGGAGGCUACCUGGAUUAAUACUCUAGGAUAGUGGACGUUACUCGCAGAAUAAGCACCGGCUAACUCUGUGCCAGCCGCCGCGGUAAAAC
rnacentral:rRNA from 1 species